rnacentral:rRNA from 1 species
CCUACGGGUGACAGCAGUGGGGCAUAUUGCACAAUGGGGGAACCCCUGAUGCAGCGCCGCCGCGUGAGUGAAGAAGUAUUUCGGUACGUAAAGCUCUAUCAGCAGGGAAGAAAAUGACGGUACCUGACUACGAAGCCCCGGCUAACUACGUGCCAGCAGCCGCGGUAAUACGUAGGGGGCAAGCGUUAUCCGGAUUUACUGGGUGUAAGGGGCACGUAGACGGCAGCGCAAGUCUGGAGUGAAAUCCCAUGGCUGAACCAUGGAACUGCUUUGGAAACUGUGCAGCUGGAGUGCAGGAGAGGGAAGCGGAAUUCCUAGUGUAGCGGUGAAAUGCGGAGAUAUUAGGAGGAACACCAGUGGCGAAGGCGGCUUACUGGACUGUAACUGACGUUGAGGCUCGAAAGCGUGGGGAGCAAACAGGAUUAGAUACCCUUGUAGUC